rnacentral:rRNA from 1 species
AGCAGCCGCGGUAAUUCCAGCUCCAAUAGCGUAUAUUAAAGUUGUUGCAGUUAAAAAGCUCGUAGUUGAAUUUCGGGAUUGACCCAUCGGUCGUGCCUUAAGGGGUAUGAACUGGUGUAGUCAAUUUCUCACCUUCUGGAGAACCGUGAUGUCCUUAAUUGGGUGCCACGAGGAACCAGGACCUUUACUUUGAAAAAAUUAGAGUGUUUAAAGCAGGCAUUUAUGCUUGAAUACAUUAGCAUGGAAUAAUAAAUAGGACGGCAUGAUUCUAUUUUGUUGGUUUCUAGGAUCACCGUAAUGAUUAAUAGGGAUAGUUGGGGGCAUUAGUAUUCAAUUGUCGGAGGUGAAAUUCUUGGAUUUAUUGAAGACUAACUACUGCGAAAGCAUUUGCCAAGGAUGUUUUCAUUAAUCAAGAACGAAAGUUAGGGGAUCGAAGACGAUCAGAUACCGUCGUAGUCUUAACCAUAAACUAUGCCGACUAGGAAUCAGACGAUGUUAAUUUUUUAAUGACUCGUUUGGC